ACAGAGGAGCUUGCUCCUUGGGUGACGAGUGGCGGACGGGUGAGUAAUGUCUGGGAAACUGCCUGAUGGAGGGGGAUAACUACUGGAAACGGUAGCUAAUACCGCAUAACGUCGCAAGACCAAAGAGGGGGACCUUCGGGCCUCUUGCCAUCAGAUGUGCCCAGAUGGGAUUAGCUAGUAGGUGGGGUAACGGCUCACCUAGGCGACGAUCCCUAGCUGGUCUGAGAGGAUGACCAGCCACACUGGAACUGAGACACGGUCCAGACUCCUACGGGAGGCAGCAGUGGGGAAUAUUGCACAAUGGGCGCAAGCCUGAUGCAGCCAUGCCGCGUGUAUGAAGAAGGCCUUCGGGUUGUAAAGUACUUUCAGCGGGGAGGAAGGUGUUGUGGUUAAUAACCACAGCAAUUGACGUUACCCGCAGAAGAAGCACCGGCUAACUCCGUGCCAGCAGCCGCGGUAAUACGGAGGGUACAAGCGUUAAUCGGAAUUACUGGGCGUAAAGCGCACGCAGGCGGUCUGUCAAGUCGGAUGUGAAAUCCCCGGGCUCAACCUGGGAACUGCAUUCGAAACUGGCAGGCUGGAGUCUCGUAGAGGGAGGUAGAAUUCCAGGUGUAGCGGUGAAAUGCGUAGAGAUCUGGAGGAAUACCGGUGGCGAAGGCGGCCUCCUGGACGAAGACUGACGCUCAGGUGCGAAAGCGUGGGGAGCAAACAGGAUUAGAUACCCUGGUAGUCCACGCUGUAAACGAUGUCGAUUUGGAGGUUGUGCCCUUGAGGCGUGGCUUCCGGAGCA
rnacentral:rRNA from 1 species